rnacentral:sRNA from 1 species
CUGCUACGUGCUUGACUCUGUGCUGCUUGGUCUACGAGCACCUCCGUCCUCUUCGAGUACAAGGCUAGUUUCACAGAUGAAUACGAUUUCAAAACCAGUAUAUCUUAUGCAACUGUAAAGUUAUAUGUAUUAUGAUUCGAUCCGCCUUCGGCCUCGACUUCGGACUUAUUUCGGACUCCAUUUAUUGCUCUUUGCUUGGAGAGGGCCAUGUCAAGCUCAGACUCAGACCUAAUCAACAAAAAUACGAGUUACAACAACAACACAGUUGGACGGUGAAAUUAAAUCUGACCUUCAAUUGAUGCUCUUUUCAGACACUUAAUUGAAGACUAUAUCCCUGGUUUAAUAGAUACAUAAUGUGUAUUUGCAAUAAUCUAAAAUUUAUUCGGGAAGUAAAACAAAGAAUAGUAUGCUAUGAUUGCUUUAUGGUUCAUUUUCAAUACUAAUUGCAAAAUAGUUACUGUGACCAAAUUGAAGGUUCGGUUUACACAAAAACACGUUCCGCAUCACAAUGAAAUUUUAAAACUGUUUUACAUACUGAUUUACUAACAAUAUUUAAAGUUUGGAGAGUGUCUAGCAGUCGGUAUUUAAUCUGUAGCGUUUCUCUGGGAUUUCUAUACGGAGGACUGCCCACUGCAGAACAGAACAGGAGCCUUGACAGGCAACCCCCGGCUGUCCACCCUCCAAGCUGGUUGCGAGAGAGUUGGGGAGGAAGGGGCAACUGUCUGUCAACCUGCAGCCAUAAAUAAUGGCCGGCUGCAGGCUGCUGGCGGCAAUUUAUAAAUCUGUUUAUUGUAACAUCCUGGCGACUCGCGCAUGUAAUUUAUGUAUCUGAAAUCUAGUUAAGCGUCCCUCUGCGAGAAUGGGCUAAUGAGGGUCCGAUUGCAGCGCAACGGAGUUGGCGGAGUUGCAAAAAUGUUGCCGUUUCCUUCCCAACAAAAAAUCACCCAAGCUCUACAGUAUUAUCCUUAAUUUUUUUAAGUGCAUAGCUCAUAGAACUUUCAAUUCAAAAGAAUGACUGCCACUCCCACUGUUUGAAUAUUAAAUGCUAAUUAUUUAAAUCA